ensembl:lncRNA
GCAGCAACUUAACUCAAGCCCAUCUGAAAACUUAGUCCAGAUAUUCCAAAGAGGACGGGGAACCUGCUCCGGGGUGAACCUGCUGUAGGGUGAACCUAACUCAUGCCCAUCUGAAAACUUGGUCUAGAUAUUCUGAGGGGGAAGGGCAAGGGGAACCUGCUCCAGGGUGAGGAAACCAGUUUGAAGUGGUUUGUUAGAGUUGCAUCUUAACAAAGGCUUUUUCAGCACAUUGGAGAUAAUUGCGUGAUUUUCCUCCUUGAAUGCAUGAAUGUGGGUCUUUUGUAGACAACAUAUUGUUGCAAAUACCAAAGGCCAAGCCUUCAUGACCUGCUCAACUUAUGGAGAGAUGAGGACUGACUUCAGAGUGGACAGUCCUGAGCCGCCCAGGCGGUGGCAUCCUGCCUGUUGCCACCACAACCUUCGUUUGCUCUUCUGGUCAGGAAGAAGCAGUGGAAGGUGCAGUCCCUGGGGUUGAAAUUGAUCAAGUCUGUUGACUUGGAGGAGGGUGUGAAGACAGGACUGACCAGGAGAGGCUGGGCAGCCACCACCUGUUCCCAUGAGUCUCCUCAGCACCCACCCAGCAAGGAUUUUGCCUUGCCCCAUGGUAUCCUAUCCUUAUACAAAAUCAGCCGAAGAUGGCCUCUGCGUGUUGGCCUCAAGCUUGUUUAUUUCUUCACUACAGGCUGAGACCCGUUAGCUCAAAAGCUUGUUGGUGCCAAACUCAGAUUUGUACACAUCCAAUUACUUUAAAAACAGCCCAAACAAGCAAAUUUUUAGCCAUGUAGAACCUGCCUGCAUUGCAUAUCCUGUGGAACCUCACCAGAGCUUGUUCUUUAUAGAUAGAGUUACAAGGCCAUGAGCCUAUACUGCCCUUCAGACGAGAUCAGGUGCGUUCAGGGUGUUAUGUCCGCAGACCUAUGCUGCUUUUCAGAGUUCUCUGACCCAGGGGAUCUGCUGUGCUGCUGAGCAGCAUCACUUAGACAUGGAGGCCCUCUCUUCCACCCCCUUCUGCCUUAGGAGUUCCUUUGCCUCCCUCCCCUUGGGAGUAGUGACCCUGCAAAAUCCUGCUGUGAGGGGCGUUCUCUACAUGCAGAGUUGUCAAAGCAUCCCCAGACAAAGCUUGUGUGUGCUGCUGCCCCAUGUGGUUAUAUCUUUUUCCUUGAUUAGCCCCUAAAUCCCUCGAACUCUUAUUCUGGUCAACGCUGGAAGCAAUGGCCGAGACAGUGGUUACAAUGUCUGCAGUAAAGUGGCAGGUAGUGACUGUGCCAAGGGUAUGCUAGCAGGAUUUGAGAAGCUGUUCUCUAAACCAUCCUCUUACUGCUGCCUCUUCCCAACUUCCAUGCCAGGCUAAGACUUCCACCUACCCCAGACAGUAGUUUAAGGAAGCAUCUGCCCUCCUCCCCAGGGGCUUCUCUUGGUUUCACUGGUAAUCUUAAAAACAUUAUUUAUUUCUGUGCUUGUUCUCUGGCUUUUACCAGUUAAAAGAACAUGUUUUUUUCUGUUAUCAAAGUAACAUUCAGUCUUUUUUUUAAGUAGAGAAACUUUAAAAAGUGGAAGAAAAUGCAAAUAUUUUUAUCAUCCAAGACAUGCACAGUUAACAGUUGGGUGCAUUUUUUCAAAUCUUUUUUCUAUUCAUUUUUUGUUUUAAAGUUAUUAUGAUCAUGUGGUACAUUCAAAAUUGUGCAUAAUGACAUUCAAGUCUAUUUUUCCCUGCUUGUAAAGAAAUUGCAUGCUCAUCACAGAAAAACUGCUUCUUGGUGAUGUAUUGACUGUUCUCAUCUAAAAAAUAUCCAAAGAUUCAGGCCCAUCAUUAUGAGUUUUGAAGAUGCAGAAUCUCACCACCCUAGUUUUUGGCAGUGAAAAUGGCCAUUUUGUUGUUCUAUGCAUUCAUGCUGUUUUUGGAGUGGAAAAAAACAAUCAUUUUGUUUAGCUG